rnacentral:other from 1 species
UAGUCCCUGCUGUGUGCGUGACGGGUCUAUUUAAACCCACAUCACCUAUAAGGGAUGCCGAACUCCUGUUGUGAAUUGCAGGCCUCCCCGGAUUUAUCCGGGACGUUGGAAGCAGAGAAACAACAGGGAGGCGACCCACCUGCAUCUUUGUGCAGGUUAUAAACGGGCUCGCACGGCACGAGCGGGGCUGA